rnacentral:rRNA from 1 species
AAAUUGAAGAGUUUGAUCAUGGCUCAGAUUGAACGCUGGCGGCAGGCCUAACACAUGCAAGUCGAACGGUAACAGGAAGCAGCUUGCUGUUUCGCUGACGAGUGGCGGACGGGUGAGUAAUGUCUGGGAAACUGCCUGAUGGAGGGGGAUAACUACUGGAAACGGUGGCUAAUACCGCAUAACGUCGCAAGACCAAAGAGGGGGACCUUCGGGCCUCUUGCCAUCAGAUGUGCCCAGAUGGGAUUAGCUUGUUGGUGAGGUAACGGCUCACCAAGGCGACGAUCCCUAGCUGGUCUGAGAGGAUGACCAGCCACACUGGAACUGAGACACGGUCCAGACUCCUACGGGAGGCAGCAGUGGGGAAUAUUGCACAAUGGGCGCAAGCCUGAUGCAGCCAUGCCGCGUGUAUGAAGAAGGCCUUCGGGUUGUAAAGUACUUUCAGCGGGGAGGAAGGUGUUGUGGUUAAUAACCGCAGCAAUUGACGUUACCCGCAGAAGAAGCACCGGCUAACUCCGUGCCAGCAGCCGCGGUAAUACGGAGGGUGCAAGCGUUAAUCGGAAUUACUGGGCGUAAAGCGCACGCAGGCGGUCUGUCAAGUCGGAUGUGAAAUCCCCGGGCUCAACCUGGGAACUGCAUUCGAAACUGGCAGGCUUGAGUCUUGUAGAGGGGGGUAGAAUUCCAGGUGUAGCGGUGAAAUGCGUAGAGAUCUGGAGGAAUACCGGUGGCGAAGGCGGCCCCCUGGACAAAGACUGACGCUCAGGUGCGAAAGCGUGGGGAGCAAACAGGAUUAGAUACCCUGGUAGUCCACGCCGUAAACGAUGUCUACUUGGAGGUUGUGCCCUUGAGGCGUGGCUUCCGGAGCUAACGCGUUAAGUAGACCGCCUGGGGAGUACGGCCGCAAGGUUAAAACUCAAAUGAAUUGACGGGGGCCCGCACAAGCGGUGGAGCAUGUGGUUUAAUUCGAUGCAACGCGAAGAACCUUACCUGGUCUUGACAUCCACAGAAGAAUCCAGAGAUGGAUUUGUGCCUUCGGGAACUGUGAGACAGGUGCUGCAUGGCUGUCGUCAGCUCGUGUUGUGAAAUGUUGGGUUAAGUCCCGCAACGAGCGCAACCCUUAUCCUUUGUUGCCAGCGGUUAGGCCGGGAACUCAAAGGAGACUGCCAGUGAUAAACUGGAGGAAGGUGGGGAUGACGUCAAGUCAUCAUGGCCCUUACGACCAGGGCUACACACGUGCUACAAUGGCGCAUACAAAGAGAAGCGACCUCGCGAGAGCAAGCGGACCUCAUAAAGUGCGUCGUAGUCCGGAUUGGAGUCUGCAACUCGACUCCAUGAAGUCGGAAUCGCUAGUAAUCGUGGAUCAGAAUGCCACGGUGAAUACGUUCCCGGGCCUUGUACACACCGCCCGUCACACCAUGGGAGUGGGUUGCAAAAGAAGUAGGUAGCUUAACCUUCGGGAGGGCGCUUACCACUUUGUGAUUCAUGACUGGGGUGAAGUCGUAACAAGGUAACCGUAGGGGAACCUGCGGUUGGAUCACCUCCUUACCUUAAAGAA